rnacentral:rRNA from 1 species
UCGGGAAUUUUGGGCAAUGGGCGAAAGCCUGACCCAGCAACGCCGCGUGAGGGAUGAAGGCCCUCGGGUCGUAAACCUCUGUCGGGAGGGAAGAACGGUAUUCGGUCGAAUAGGCCGCGUGCCUGACGGUACCUCCAAAGGAAGCACCGGCUAACUCCGUGCCAGCAGCCGCGGUAAUACGGAGGGUGCAAGCGUUGUUCGGAAUCAUUGGGCGUAAAGCGCGUGUAGGCGGCUUGGCAAGUCGGUUGUGAAAGCCCGGGGCCCAACCCCGGAAUUGCAGCCGAAACUGCCUGGCUAGAGUCCCGGAGAGGAAGGCAGAAUUCCCGGUGUAGGGGUGAAAUCCGUAGAUAUCGGGAGGAAUACCAGUGGCGAAGGCGGCCUUCUGGACGGUGACUGACGCUGAGACGCGAAAGCGUGGGGAGCAAACAGGAUUAGAUACCCCCGUAGUCC